rnacentral:rRNA from 1 species
AUGCGAGCCACUCGAGAUCUGGAGGGAGAGCAGCAUCCUCUUGUAUUCUUCACCACCAACGAAGCUUUCUGGCCUCUCUUUCCUCUCCCUCUCGAUUCUAGCAGUCUCAACCGGCCAGAGGUCACCUUCCCGGUCAGCCCCAGCCAACCUCCCCUUCCUCCUCCCUAGUGCAACCGUCUCCCCUUGCUCCUAGCCAAUAGAGAUCUAGCUGAAUCCAUAAACUACUCAUCUCCUAGCAAGCCGGCCACCCCACCCUCCCAAACCCGUACUCAACGACCACGAGCCCGGCCGAGGGGAUGCUUGCUCAUCCCACCACCGUGUCGUCUGCUGGGUGCCCGUCUCAAUCGUCCUCCUUCGAUGCGGGAGGUCGUUGUCUCCCCCAACCAUGGCAACAUGCGCUAUCCCUGCUACAUGUAGUAGGGUGUGGACGCGACAAGGUCGUCGGCUUCAGAUGGAUUCUCCGCUAGUCUGUGGUGCAGGUCGUCCUCGAGUUGCAGGAGGAGGAGCUCCCAGACCCUCUUCUUCGUUUGUCCCUUCUCCUCCAUGGCGGUCAGGCUCACCCAUCGUUAUCCGUUCGCUGUUGCCUCUCCCCCACGGCCCGAUGGUAGUGUGACUUUUUGUUGAGCGUCUCACACCCUUUGUUCAAGCUACUUGCAGCAAUCCAGAAUUUUCUUUGCAACUGUAUGGACUUUGUAUGCUCUUUUGUAUCCAGAAAAUUUGGUAUGUUCUUCUUGCAAGAUGUUUGCUUGUGUAUACAUCACGCCCCACUUUUUG